UACGUAGGGGGGCAAGCGUUGUCCGGAUUUAUUGGGCGUAAAGAGCUCGUAGGCGGUUCCGUAAGUCGUGAAGUCAAAUCUCUGGGCUCAACCCAGAAUCGCUUCCGAUACUGCGGUGACUGGAGUCCGGUAGGGGAGUGUGGAAUUCCUGGUGUAGCGGUGAAAUGCGCAGAUAUCAGGAGGAACACCAACAGCGAAGGCAGCACUCUGGGCCGGUACUGACGCUGAGGAGCGAAAGCAUGGGGAGCGAACAGG
rnacentral:rRNA from 1 species